rnacentral:rRNA from 1 species
GGGUGAAAGGCCAAUCAAACCGGGAGAUAGCUGGUUCUCCCCGAAAGCUAUUUAGGUAGCGCCUCGUGAAUUCAUCUCCGGGGGUAGAGCACUGUUUCGGCUAGGGGGCCAUCCCGGCUUACCAACCCGAUGCAAACUGCGAAUACCGGAGAAUGUUAUCACGGGAGACACACGGCGGGUGCUAACGUCCGUCGUGAAGAGGGAAACAACCCAGACCGCCAGCUAAGGUCCCAAAGUCAUGGUUAAGUGGGAAACGAUGUGGGAAGGCCCAGACAGCCAGGAUGUUGGCUUAGAAGCAGCCAUCAUUUAAAGAAAGCGUAAUAGCUCACUGGUCGAGUCGGCCUGCGCGGAAGAUGUAACGGGGCUAAACCAUGCACCGAAGCUGCGGCAGCGACACUGUGUGUUGUUGGGUAGGGGAGCGUUCUGUAAGCCUGCGAAGGUGGCCUGUGAGGGUUGCUGGAGGUAUCAGAAGUGCGAAUGCUGACAUAAGUAACGAUAAAGCGGGUGAAAAGCCCGCUCGCCGGAAGACCAAGGGUUCCUGUCCAACGUUAAUCGGGGCAGGGUGAGUCGACCCCUAAGGCGAGGCCGAAAGGCGUAGUCGAUGGGAAACGGGUUAAUAUUCCCGUACUUGGUGUUACUGCGAAGGGGGGACGGAGAAGGCUAUGUUGGCCGGGCGACGGUU